UCAUUAGCUCAAAUAACAUAUUCUUUUCUGAUAGCAAGGCCCAGAAAGCUACCACCUGCUGCUGUUUCUGCCUCUUCUGGCCAUUCAACAAGUGUUCACUGAUGACUCUCGGGAGAAAGUCAAGGCACAGAGAUGAAUAAGGCCCAGGCCCCGCCCUGCAGACCCCCAGGCCACUGGAUGACAUCCCUCCUGAAAGAGCAAUGAAUGCCAGGCCUUGUCUGAUAAGAGCUAUGGAAAGGCUGUCAUGAAAGUGCAGAGAAGACAGAGGGCUUUCCUGCCUAAGGGAAUCAGGGAGAAAUGUAACUGCCAAAGGGACCGGAUACACGUGUCCUCCAGCCAACACGUCAGCUCCCUGCAGGCACACUCCGCAGAAAGCCAAGUUCAAAUCAAAAUGGUGCUUGGCACUUUCCUUUCCAGGCUUGCUUCUCCCAGGCAGGCUGCCUGAUGGUUCCUGGAUAUGCCGUGUGUGUCCACACCUCUGGGCCUCUGCUCAGGGUAGAGAUGGCAUACAGGAACUGAAUGGAUGAGCAGGUCACUGAGCAGACACGCUGGGGAAAGCACCACGUGGAGGGAAUCAAGAGAGCUGGAUUCUCAUUCCAGUCUUCUGGCUCCUCAGGUUUAGAGCAAGGGAUUCGGAAAUGCUCUGGAGACAGUCAAGAAGGAAGCACAGAAAAGGAAGAGUCAGAGGAAGCCUCUGGAACACGUGAGGAUUUGCCUUCUCCCAUCAGAACAUGCUCUUAAACAAACAGCAAGCUUCCUCCAUUAAUAAGUCCUGUGGAAUGCACAUGAGAUUUUUUUUUCCUCCUCCUUUUUGCUGAUUAAGUUCCCCCAAAACC
rnacentral:lncRNA from 10 species